CAGGAUGAACGCUAGCUACAGGCUUAACACAUGCAAGUCGAGGGGCAGCGGGAUUGAAGCUUGCUUCAAUUGCCGGCGACCGGCGCACGGGUGAGUAACGCGUAUCCAAUCUUCCGUACACUCAGGGAUAGCCUUUCGAAAGAAAGAUUAAUACCUGAUAGUAUCUUAAGCACACAUGUAAUUAAGAUUAAAGAUUUAUCGGUGUACGAUGGGGAUGCGUUCCAUUAGGUAGUAGGCGGGGUAACGGCCCACCUAGCCAACGAUGGAUAGGGGUUCUGAGAGGAAGGUCCCCCACAUUGGAACUGAGACACGGUCCAAACUCCUACGGGAGGCAGCAGUGAGGAAUAUUGGUCAAUGGACGAGAGUCUGAACCAGCCAAGUAGCGUGAAGGAUGAAGGUCCUACGGAUUGUAAACUUCUUUUAUAAGGGAAUAAACCCUCCCACGUGUGGGAGCUUGUAUGUACCUUAUGAAUAAGCAUCGGCUAACUCCGUGCCAGCAGCCGCGGUAAUACGGAGGAUGCGAGCGUUAUCCGGAUUUAUUGGGUUUAAAGGGAGCGCAGACGGGUCGUUAAGUCAGCUGUGAAAGUUUGGGGCUCAACCUUAAAAUUGCAGUUGAUACUGGCGUCCUUGAGUGCGGUUGAGGUGUGCGGAAUUCGUGGUGUAGCGGUGAAAUGCUUAGAUAUCACGAAGAACUCCGAUUGCGAAGGCAGCACACUAAUCCGUAACUGACGUUCAUGCUCGAAAGUGUGGGUAUCAAACAGGAUUAGAUACCCUGGUAGUCCACACGGUAAACGAUGGAUACUCGCUGUUGGCGAUAUACUGUCAGCGGCUUAGCGAAAGCGUUAAGUAUCCCACCUGGGGAGUACGCCGGCAACGGUGCAACUCAAAUGAA
rnacentral:rRNA from 1 species